UACAGAGGUCUCAAGCGUUGUUCGGAUUCAUUGGGCGUAAAGGGUGCGUAGGUGGCGGGGCAAGUUUGGUGUGAAAUCCCGGGGCUCAACCCCGGAACUGCACUGAAUACUGCCUUGCUAGAGCACUGGAGAGGGAACUGGAAUUUACGGUGUAGCAGUGAAGUGCGUAGAUAUCGUAAGGAAGACCAGUGGCGAAGGCGAGUUCCUGGACAGUUGCUGACACUGGAGGCAACGAAGGCUAGGGGAGCAAACGGG
rnacentral:rRNA from 1 species